GCAAAACGCGAAGAACCUUACCUGGCCUUGACAUACAGAGAACUUUCCAGAGAUGGAUUGGUGCCUUCGGGAACUCUGAUACAGGUGCUGCAUGGCUGUCGUCAGCUCGUGUCGUGAGAUGUUGGGUUAAGUCCCGCAACGAGCGCAACCCUUUUCCUUAUUUGCCAGCACUUCGGGUGGGAACUUUAAGGAUACUGCCAGUGACAAACUGGAGGAAGGCGGGGACGACGUCAAGUCAUCAUGGCCCUUACGGCCAGGGCUACACACGUGCUACAAUGGUCGGUACAAAGGGUUGCUACUGCGCGAGCAGAUGCUAAUCUCAAAAAGCCGAUCGUAGUCCGGAUCGCAGUCUGCAAUUCGACUGCGUGAAGUCGGAAUCGCUAGUAAUCGCGGAUCAGAAUGCCGCGGUGAAUACGUUCCCGGGUCUUGUACACACCG
rnacentral:rRNA from 1 species